rnacentral:rRNA from 1 species
UACGGGGGGAGCAAGCGUUGUUCGGAUUUACUGGGCGUAAAGGGCGCGUAGGCGGUUAGCACAAGUCAGUUGUGAAAUCUCCGGGCUUAACUCGGAAAGGUCAACUGAUACUGUGCGACUAGAGUGCGGAAGGGGCAACUGGAAUUCUCGGUGUAGCGGUGAAAUGCGUAGAUAUCGAGAGGAACACCUGCGGCGAAGGCGGGUUGCUGGGCCGACACUGACGCUGAUGCGCGAAAGCCAGGGGAGCGAACGGG